rnacentral:rRNA from 1 species
UACAGAGGGGGCAAGCGUUGUUCGGAAUUACUGGGCGUAAAGGGCGCGUAGGCGGCCUGUUAAGUCGAACGUGAAAUCCCCGGGCUCAACCCGGGAACUGCGUCCGAUACUGGCAGGCUUGAAUCCGGGAGAGGGAUGCGGAAUUCCAGGUGUAGCGGUGAAAUGCGUAGAUAUCCGGAGGAACACCGGUGGCGAAGGCGGCCCUGGCCGACGUC